UACAGAGGUCUCAAGCGUUGUUCGGAUUCAUUGGGCGUAAAGGGUGCGUAGGCGGCGCGGUAAGUCGGAUGUGAAAUUUCGAGGCUUAACUUCGAAACUGCAUUCGAUACUGCCGUGCUAGAGGACUGGAGAGGAGACUGGAAUUUACGGUGUAGCGGUGAAAUGCGUAGAUAUCGUAAGGAAGACCAGUGGCGAAGGCGGGUCUCUGGACAGUUCCUGACGCUGAGGCACGAAGGCCAGGGGAGCAAACGGG
rnacentral:rRNA from 1 species